rnacentral:lncRNA from 1 species
GUGAAUUGAAUUUAUAUAUAUUGACUAUGAUUGCGAUAACUAUACAAAACUUGACUGCACCUGAGGAGAAUGACGAGGCAGACGAAGCGUUUGUGUAGCUCUUCGAAUUUUGCGCUUAGCAAACAGGAGAUUGCUCCGAGGAAAGAAGGUGUAUUGGUUUCAGAUGAGGUGAUUGUGUGUAUUUGCAGACUAUGCAGUGUGUGAUAGAUGGGUCCGGGG